rnacentral:rRNA from 1 species
GACGAACGCUGGCGGCGUGCUUAACACAUGCAAGUCGAACGGAAAGGCCCGGCUUGUGGGCGUGGCUCGAUGGGCGAACGUGUGAGGAACACGUGAGAAACCUGCCCUUGAUUUUGGGAUAACCUUAGGAAACUGGGGCUAAUACCCGAUAGGAGCUCCGGCGGCAGGGGAGGGUUUGGAACGGUGCGGCGGUUGGGGAUAGAGGGGCGGCUUCUCAGCCUGUUGGUGGGGGAGGGGCUUACCAAGGGUUUGACGGAUAGCCGGCCUGAGAGGGUGACCGGCCACCUUGGGACUGAGAUACGGCGCAGACUCCUACGGGCGGCAGCAGUGGGGAAUAUUGCACAAUGCGCGGAAGCCUGAUGCAGCAACGCCGCGGUCGGGAUGACGGCCUUCGGGUUAUAAACCGCUUUCGCCUGUGACGAAGCGUUAGUGACGGUAAUGGGUAAAGAAGCACCGGCUAACUCCGUG